rnacentral:misc_RNA from 1 species
GUAGGUGAGUAACAACCAUCCCAACUAAUCCCUCAAAUACAACUCAAUGCUAACUUAUCUUUUCCAGGUGAACCUGCGGAGGGAUCAUUACCGAGUGAGGGCCCUCGCGCCCGACCUCCAACCCUUUGUCGAUUAAUAUCUGUUGCCUCGGGGGGCGACCCGGACGUCCGCGGCCGGGAGUCCCCCAGAGGACCAAUCAACUCUGCAUCUUUGCGUCGAGUAUUGAAUACAAAUCAAUCAAAACUUUUAACAACGGAUCUCUUGGUUCUG